rnacentral:rRNA from 1 species
UGAGGAAUAUUGCGCAAUGGCCGAAAGGCUGACGCAGCGACGCCGCGUGGAGGAUGAAGUCCGUUAGGAUGUAAACUCCUUUUGCAGGGGAUGAAUGUUCCGCCUCGUGCGGACUUGACCGUACCCUGCGAAUAAGGAUCGGCCAACUACGUGCCAGCAGCCGCGGUAAUACGUAGGAUCCAAGCGUUGUCCGGAUUUACUGGGUGUAAAGGGCGUGUAGGUGGGUUUUUAAGUCGGUGGUGAAAUCCUGCAGCUCAACUGCAGAAUUGCCUCCGAUACUGGAAAUCUUGAGUGCGGCAGAGGGAGACGGAAUUCAUGGUGUAGCGGUGAAAUGUGUAGAUAUCAUGAAGAACACCGGUUGCGAAGGCGGUCUCCUGGUCCGUUACUGACACUGAGGCGC